UGCGUAGGCGGCGCGGAAAGUUGGGUGUGAAAUCCCUCGGCUCAACCGAGGAACUGCGCCCAAAACUACCGUGCUCGAGGAAGAUAGAGGUGAGCGGAACUUAGGGUGGAGCGGUGAAAUGCGUUGAUAUCCUAAGGAACACCGGUGGCGAAAGCGGCUCACUGGAUCUUUUCUGACGCUGAGGCACGAAAGCUAGGGUAGCGAACG
rnacentral:rRNA from 1 species